rnacentral:rRNA from 1 species
GAUGAACGCUAGCGGCAGGCUUAACACAUGCAAGUCGAGGGGUAUAGGUUUUCGGACCUAGAGACCGGCGCACGGGUGCGUAACGCGUAUGCAAUCUACCUUUCACAGAGGGAUAGCCCAGAGAAAUUUGGAUUAAUACCUCAUAGUAUAGCGGUUUCGCAUGAAACCACCAUUAAAGUUCCAACGGUGAAAGAUGAGCAUGCGUCCCAUUAGCUAGAUGGUAAGGUAACGGCUUACCAUGGCUACGAUGGGUAGGGGUCCUGAGAGGGAGAUCCCCCCCACUGGUACUGAGACACGGACCAGACUCCUACGGGAGGCAGCAGUGAGGAAUAUUGGUCAAUGGACGCAAGUCUGAACCAGCCAUGCCGCGUGCAGGGUGACGGUCCUAUGGAUUGUAAACUGCUUUUGUACGAGAAGAAACAACAUUACGUGUAAUGUCUUGACGGUAUCGUAAGAAUAAGGAUCGGCUAACUCCGUGCCAGCAGCCGCCGUAACAC